UAUUUAGAUUAGGGUUCCAGUAUGUUCUUCUUCUUCCGGCGAAUUCUUGACCUCCGACUUUUUCUUAUUAUUCUUUCUUUACCUUACUCUCUUGGAAAUAGCAAUUCUUAUUAGUCGUGAUCCACUGUUAAAGAGAGCAAUUCUGGAAAAGUUUCCUCCGACCGAAAUUUUCGAUCAGCAGCAGAAACCGGUAAAGAAGCCUGUUGCCGCUGAUAAAACGAAAAAACCUAACCUUUCACAGCAUCUCCGGCGAAGAAAACUUGCAGAGUUCGCAUCUGAAGAGAAACGGUAUCUCCAUGAAUGCAUCGUACUCUUCAGAGGCGUCGUCUUCGUGCGAGUCGUCUCCGUUGAGUGUGGCGUCUACUUCUAGCGGUAAUGGGCUUUGCGGCGUACCGGGUCUAUGACAGAGGAGAGAGAUGGAAGUGAUUGAAGUAGCAGGAGAUGACGAUUGGUUUCCUCCACCGCCGAAGGUUGUCUUCGAUAAAAGCAAAAAAAUCCAGUGAAGAUUCUAUCAUUAACGCUUUGCGGUCAGAAAUUGUAGUAGAUGUCCAGAAGAUUUAGCUAAUGUGUGUCGAAAUGCUAUUCCUCGACAAGACAAUCCCAGCAGCAGUGUUAUAAUCUUUACUUUUGUGAGAAACUCAUCUACAACCAGCGCCACCGUCAAUCAUCUCCUACCAUUGUACAUGUGUCUCCUCUUUGAAUCUAUAUCUUCCAGUGAAGGAGAUUGUUUGAUUAGUUUUUGUGAAAUCUUAAGAUCUAGAAGUUUUUGUGAAUCACGACUUCUAGAUCAGUUUCACCAAAUGUGUUGGACAGGCUCCUUUUCCAUUCAUUCAAAGAAUUGAAACAAACUGUGGUCUAAGAGGUGCACUUAACUUUUUUUUUCCAGAAUUUGAUUCAGGAGAUGAGGAAAUCACCAAUGAUGGGUCUCAAAAUGGAUAACUCAGAAGAAGAAAAGGAAACAACAGUGAAGAAAAAAGAAAAGGUGGAACCACGGAGCAAGAAACCAAAUUGUGGAGCAAUGAACAACACUAACAUAGUUGUGACAAAAAAUCAGAAGUUGGAAGUCAGCAUAAGUGUCAGGAGAGUAUAAAUGGCACAAGUGGGGCGGUAUUUAUCCUCCAAAAAGAAACUAGAGAAUGACCAAGUCACAUUUUAAUAUAAAGAUUUGAUAGUUUUUCCUAAUGGUGAAUGGUUGAGUGAUUCUUUGACCCAAAAAGAAGAAGAAUGGUUGAGUGGGUCUUUGUAAAAAAUAUCUUAUUAGAUUAAGAAACUGAGAUGAUUUGGUUUCUCCUUAAAAUAUUUUAUUCGAUUCAUCAUCUAAAAUAUAUAUAAAAAUACAUUUUUA